GCGUCUUCGCGCUUCUUUUUGGCCAACUGUCGGAAGAAGUGACCCACGCCCUGCAGAGCCACGUCGUCCCGGUCGAAAUAGAAGCCCUGCGGGAAGAGAUGGCAGAAGCAAGGAGUGUGAGUGUGAAGGCUGGACCUUAGGCAACCCUGUUGGAACCCGAGGUGACCCCCAUAGAAACCAGUGCCAAAAACGUUGAGGCAGGAAGGUAGAAGACUUCACAGAAUUGCUCAGCAAGCCCUACCUGCCCAUGUACAGAUUCCUCCACGUGAGGGAGUGAACCCUGCGUGGAUAAGCCACAGCCAUUUUGGCGGGGUGCCUGUUAUAAGGGGCUGAAUCUGGGCCUGACUCACACGGGGGUUUCUCUGGAAGAGCCCAGCAGAGCUCCUGUCUUGAGAGGAUGCUUACCAUGGUGAUGGCUGUCUUCCCAGUGCCGGGCUGGCCAGUGAUGAGCACCGCCUGCCCAGCGAUCAUCCCUUCCCGGAUCAUCUCCAGCACCACGCCAGCUGCCCGCCGGGCCGCCAGCUGACCAACCAUGCCCUGGGAGGCCUGUGGGGUGGGGGGCCAGAGAGCAGAACAGCUGCCUUCCUGCAGGACCACCCCCAUCUCUACCACCUCCCGGCCUAGGACACGGAAGCAGAUGUUUGGAGGGACAUCGGGGAAAAGCCAAAAAGCCUUUGCUACCACAAUUUUUUUCAGCCCAAUAGAACUCUGUAUGUGGCUGAAUUUCAUAAAUACGGAGCUAAAGGUCUGGAAAAAUAUAACAGUCCCCAUACUCCCGGGGGCCCUCCACAGAGCAGGCUUCCCACCCACCCAGAUCAGCUCUACCUGCCGAGGUUCCAAGGCAUCGUCCAGCCCCAGUCCCCGGAUGUGGGAGUGAGCUCCUGUGUGCAGAGGGAAACAGGAGACACAGUUACUGGCCAGCUCCUAGCAGUGUGUGGCCAAGGUGACAGGUUCCCCUCUGGGCCCUGCUUUCCUCCUUGGCCAGUUGGGGGCCCGGGUCUCCGCCUUACUGGAGGGAUGGCAGGGCUCAGUGAACAAGAGGGGCUCUUCUCAGAAUCCCUCAGAGCCAGACCGGAGUCCCUGGGCCUGGUGAACCACGGGGUCAGUCAGGACUAACCUGGAAGGCUGAGGACCACGGUUACUAUGCUACUAAACUCUGGGAGCGCUUCUGGGGUUCUGUAACUGCCCCAGGCUCUCACCAACAUGGGUGCAGAAGGGGCUCAGAGAGGUCAGAUCCGUUGCCCAGGACCCAUAGCCAUUGAGGAGUGUAGAUUCCAGAUUCACUGCUUUACACUAGAGUGGGGCUGGAGAAACUACAGCCUGGGGUCCAGCCACUUGUUUCUGUAAAUAAAGUUUUAUUGGAACACAGAUUCGCCCAUGUGCUUAUAGGAGGCAGCACCCAAAACACAAUCAGAAUUGCCUUCUGGAGGGCAGGUCCCUUCUUAUUCAGGCUUCCCCCCUGGUGAGUGUCCUGGAAUCCAUCUGUGUCGAUGAAGCGGCAGCCAUUGUUGGGAGAGGCUGCGUGUGGCUUCAGUGAACUUUGUUUUGAAGACUUGCAAAAUGUUUGCCCAUUUCAUGAUGGCUAAUUUACGAGCACACCUGCCCACACCACGCUGAGUUUGCAGCAGUUUUUGACCCGAAACGGCAUGGUCCCCCUACCCCACCCUUCCUAUUCACCUGAUUCUCCCUGUGUGACUUUCUUUUGUUUCCCUGAAUGAAGAAAGUCCUCAGAGGGAAACGUUUUGCCAAGGUGGAAGACGGGAAACAAAAACCAGCAGAAGCACUAAAAGGCAUCAAAAUCGACGAGUUCAAAAACUGUUUUGAGCAGCGGAGAAACCUCUCAAUAGGUGUGUUAUAUCAAAUGGAGAGUCCUUUGAAGGUGACUGAGUUUUAAACAUUUAAGAAUACACUAUAUUUUUUAUAAAUAAA